AAUAACUUAAAGUUAAACUUCAAAUACAAGUUGCAAGACAGGCUGCUGAAAUACAGGAAGAGACUUUGGAACAACGUAAAGUUAGACUUCGAGCUCAAGCUGAAAGGCAGGCUAUUCAAAGACAGCAAGAAACUGUUGAACAUCACAAAGCCAGAGUUCAGUCAGAAUCAUCAA